CCUUCCACCUCCGGGCUCGCACCUGGGGCCGUGCAAGACGAGCCGGCUCUGGAGAUUUACGUUCGGGACAGGCAAACAGAGACUGGACAACACAGAGUGGGCUGAAGCAGUAAGAUGAUGAGUGAAUACCUAUGAGCCUUGGUGAUUCAUCGCUCCAAGGAGCUCUUGCUUUAAUCACAGAGGGCUACCAGAU
rnacentral:lncRNA from 13 species